rnacentral:rRNA from 1 species
UACGUAGGGUCCAAGCGUUAUCCGGAAUUACUGGGCGUAAAGAGUUGCGUAGGUGGCAUGAUAAGUCAGUAGUGAAAUGACGAGGCUCAACCUUGUGUCCAUUACUGAAACUGUCAAGCUAGAGAAUGUGAGAGGUAGCUGGAAUUCCCUGUGUAGGAGUGAAAUCCGUAGAUAUAGGGAGGAACACCGAUGGCGUAGGCAGGCUACUGGCACAUUUCUGACACUAAGGCACGAAAGCGUGGGGAGCAAACGGG